rnacentral:rRNA from 1 species
CGGCAACAGCUCAGAUUUGAAAUCUGGCCUUUGGGCCCGAGUUGUAAUUUGUAGAAGAUGCUUCGGGUGUGGCUCCGGUCUAAGUUCCUUGGAACAGGACGUCAUAGAGGGUGAGGAUCCCGUAUGUGACUGGGUGCCUUCGCCUAAGUGAAGCUCUUUCGAC